rnacentral:rRNA from 1 species
CGAAGCGCACGAAAAGUGUAACGACUGGGGGACUGUCUCAACGAGGAGCCCGGUGAAAAUACAAUACCGGUGAAGAUGCCGGUUACCUGUAGUUAGACGAAAAGACCCCGGGAGCUUUACUGUAGCUUGAUAUUGGGUUUAACGUGUUGAUACGUAGCAUAGAUGGGAGGCGUUGAUGUUUGGGUUCCGGCCUAAAUGGAGCCGUCAGUGAAAUACCAUUUUUUAACAUUUUAAAUUCUAACCGAUCCGAGACCUAAAAAUGGAAAGCGGAUCGAGACAGUGUCUGGCGGGCAGUUUGUGUGGGGCACAUUCCUCCUAAAAAGUAAUGGAGGAGUCUAUUAAGGUUGGCUUAGUCCGGAUGGAAAUCGGACUGGACCCGUAAAGGGACAAGCCAGCUUGACUGCAAGACGGAUAUGUCGCGCAGGUGCGAAAGCAGAGCUUAGUGAACCGAUGGUUCUUACUAGAAUAAGGCCAGAGAUCAUCAGACAAAAGCUACCCCGGGGAUAACAGGCUAGUUCCGCCCAAGCGUCCACAGCGACGGCGGAGUUCGGCACCUCAACAUAUCGGGGCGCCAUGCCAGUAAUGGCAUUAGCCGCUCGUUUUGCUCGUUAGGAGCGAGUGCAAAGCGAGAAAAAUAAUGGCUUAUAACGGUGGACUCCAUAUGGUACAAUAACCAUAUGGACAAUACCGUGGGAAGUUUAACUCAAUUAUGUUAUUCCUGAAAUGAAAUACAAAAUUGAGUUAUAACCCCGUAGAGACUUGUUCCCGCUCAAAAACGGGACGGAUAAUUACGAAAUUCGUAAUUAUAACACGCCAUCUCCUCUGCAAGAGCAGAGGAUGAAGAUAUAGUCCGCACCAUUAGUAAUAAUGGAAAACAUGCGAUGUCGGCUCAACUUAUCCUGGGACUGGAGAAGGCCCCAAGGGUUCGGCUGUUCGCCGAUUAAAAAGUUACGUGAGCUGGGUUCAAACCGUCAAAAUGAACCUUUAACAUCGAAUAUACACACGGCGGCUUUCCCGAGUGAUCGGGAUUGCAAAAGUUGACUCAUAUCGGUGAAUUCCUAACAGUGUUGUUUCUCAACCUGUCAUAUGUUAGGAUAAUACCGAGGGAAGUCGAAUAUGUCAAAAAUAAUUUCAUCAACUCAAAGAGCAUAUCUUGCCGGAUUUCUUGAUGGAGACGGCAGUAUUUAUGUGAGGGUAAAACCGAAUCCGACUUAUAAGUAUGGAUUCCAAAUUGCCCCAUCUAUAAUAUUGUUUCAAUCCGCCAAAGAUAAAGUAAAUUUUUUGAAAGUAUGCGAUCCUAUCGGAUUAGGAUAUAUGCGUGAGCGAAAGGAUGGAAUUUUGGAAUAUACCAUCAAUAGAAAAGAUGCGAUUCUGAAAUUUCUUCGAUUAGUUCAACCUUAUGUGAUCAUGAAAUCAGAACAAGUAAAACUCAUGAUGCGUAUAUUCAGAUUGAAAGAACAAGUGCAAACCGAGCAAGAUUUCGGAGAAUUGAUGAAGGUGAUUGAUGGAUUUCGGGAAUUAAAUUAUUCGAAGAAACGGAAAAGACAUGUUUUGACCCCGUAGAGACUUGGCCUUUAUGGCCGGAGUUAUCCUUAUUUAGGAUAGCUAACACGUCAACCUCCCCACCAUGAAUGAUGGGGAUGAUGGUAUAGUCCACCCAAUUAGUAAUAGUUGAAUAUAUGCGUGAGACAGGUUGGUCUCCUAUCUACUACAGGCGUCGAUACUUGAGAGGGCUCGUCCCUAGUAAAGUUUUGCUACUUCAGGAAGUAAUUCCUGAUGACAAUUUGGCUAAUAACGGUGGAAUCUUAUUAUUUCUGAAUCCGUUGAUAACUCUAGUUGCGUUGGUCCAAAAACUAGAGUACAGUUUACUUGAGGACCAGAAAAUAAUAAGACAAUACCGUGGGAAGUCGAUCUAAAAUUCAUUUAUUUCAACAUGUCUGAUUUAUCAAUCAUUCAAUUUGAAUUGUUGGUAAUUAUUAUUAUUCUUCUCUACUUCAAUAGCAGAGGAAUAAAAAUUGAUAAAUAGAUUAUUUUAUUUUAGAUUUGACCCCGUAACGACUGGAUUUCCCGUUUUUGAUGGGAAUGAAGAUAGUAUUGAACAUAUAUGUUUGGUGCUAUAAUAUGCCAAUACCCCAUUUUGGAGUAAUCUCCAAAAGGGUAAAGAUAUAGUCUACCCUCAUAGUGAUAUGAGAAUAUGUGACGAGAGGACCGGGACGAACGAACCUCUGGUCUACCAGCUGUUCCGCCAGGAGCAACGCUGGGUAGCUAUGUUCGGUUAAGAUAAACGCUGAAAGCAUCUAAGCGUGAAACUUGCCUCAAGAUGAGGUAUCAUAGAUUCCUAGAAGAUGACUAGGUUGAUAGGCUGUAGGUGUACGCACAGUAAUGUGUUUAGCCGAGCAGUACUAAUAAAUCGUUCCCCCGCCAUC